GACUUAACCAAGCUUUCAUACUGUAGAGAGAGUCGGUGGCUUGAUUGCAGAUGAGCAGCAGGUGAGAAGACUUGAUGGCAGACAGGUGGGUCGAUCCAAGACCGGCUCCAGGAGCUGCAGGAAACUGAUGGAUCCAUCCUGUCCUGCCUCGCCGUCAGGGCCAUAAACUUUACAGCUUGUUGUUAUUCCCAAGGCGUCCCAAAACAAUUCUUUGUGAAGACCCUACAAGUCUCACACAGACACUAAAGGUUUCCUUCAGCAUCUGCAUCAGAAGCCCCAAACCUUCUGCUCACUGUAAUGUACAGUCACCAACGAGGGCUCAAGGGAUCAUGUUUUAUGUGCAGAGGGUUCUGAAACCUCAGGUCAGCUACAAGGUGGUGCCUUCAUUUCCCAUGACUCCUGAAAGCUCUGCUCACACUAAUGGCCUGCUGUAUGUUUUUAAGUCUGCGUACCUCUGCUAAGAUUAAAAGUACU